GCGCCGUGCGUUCAUCCGGGUAAGUUGUCCCUGGAUCCCGGGACCCGGCAGUGGCGGGCUGCACAGGCUCCCCGGAAGGGGGGUGUGGAUAGUGACCUGUGCUCGCACACAGGCUUCUUGGUGGUGGCGGCAGCAGCCCUAGCCUCUCAUGCCCGUCUCUGGUGUCCGCGCUUGUAGCCACGGCUCGCGCCCGUCUCUGGAGCUCCUUUAAGAGGCGCCCUGAAUCCCCUCUCCUCGCGCACCAAGCAGGUCCAGACUUUUCCCCGGACUCCCUCCCGGCCAGCCGUGGCGCACUAACCCCCUUCAGGCUGUGUUCACGCCGCCAACCCCAGUCCUCUCCCUGCUCCGACCGAAGCCCGAGCCUCAGCUCCCAGCCCCGCCCACCCCGGCGGGGGAGCAGACAAGCCUCUCGGGCUGGUGAGUGCUGGUCAGCCUCGAUCCUCUGUGCGGGAAACUCUCUGCUCUGCCCUCCGCACCCCUGUUGCUGUGCUGUCCUCCGCGGCUCCGAAGCUCCCCGACUCCGUCACCCGCAGUCUCCGCCCGCGAAGGGGCUUCUAGUGUGUGGAAACCUUUCCUCCUUCACAGCUCCCUCCCUCUGGUGCAGCAGUUACAGGACGAGGCUUGGCCAAUCCCCAUCCAGACCUUCAUGAGUCCUAUUGUGCCGGAAGCUGUGACUUCAUCAGCCUCAUCACCUAGGAGUGUUUCUCCGAUGCAGGUAUUCUCUGCAUAAUGCUGUCCAUAAGGAUAAAGAAAACAAUGGCAUAAAGAUGGAUCAUCUGGGAAGACCAGGCUGUCCCCUGGAGUCACCAAGGACAGAAGUUCUUGGAGGGCAGGAAGAUGAGAUGAGAGAAGAUACCCCACUAUUCGUGAGGGUAGCAAGAGAGCCCAGGGAUUCUGAGGCUGAGAUCUGUGCCCCUGGGCCAUCAGUUUGAGAGUGGCUAAGCCUGCAAGGAGUCCUGUGACAUCUUAUCUCAGAUGGGGGAGGUCUUCUGAGACCCUCAUUAUCUGUGUUUAUACUGGAAAAAAAGAUAAUAAAUAUUUUGAG